rnacentral:other from 1 species
AACAGAAUGCAAACAACGUGCUUAUUCAAAGGUGCCAAACCAGUUUGAAUGGGAAGCGUCUUGUAUGCUCUCUCCAGUGUAAAUGGCAAAUUUUACGCAUGGCUAUAAUAAGCCAAUAGGAGGAUUUUUUUACAUGAAAAACGGUAAAGUAAAAUGGUUUAACGCUGAAAAAGGUUUUGGAUUUAUCGAAGCUGAAGAUGGAAACGAUGUAUUCGUUCACUUUUCCGCAAUUCAAUCCGAAGGCUUCAAAACAUUGGAAGAAGGCGAAGAGGUUUCCUUCGAAGUAGUUGAAGGUGCACGUGGACCUCAAGCAGCUAAUGUUACUAAAUUAUAAUUGAGCGAACCUAUACAAAAACAGCCUGGCGAAAUUGCCUGGCUGUUUUU